UCAUCUUCGGGGGUAGAGCACUGUUUCGGCUAGGGGGUCAUCCCGACUUACCAACCCGAUGCAAACUACGAAUACCGAAGAAUGUUAUCACGGGAGACACACGGCGGGUGCUAACGUCCGUCGUGAAGAGGGAAACAACCCAGACCGCCAGCUAAGGUCCCAAAGUCAUGGUUAAGUGGGAAACGAUGUGGGAAGGCACAGACAGCCAGGAUGUUGGCUUAGAAGCAGCCAUCAUUUAAAGAAAGCGUAAUAGCUCACUGGUCGAGUCGGCCUGCGCGGAAGAUGUAACGGGGCUAAACCAUGCACCGAAGCUGCGGCAGCGACACUAUGUGUUGUUGGGUAGGGGAGCGUUCUGUAAGCCUGCGAAGGUGUGCUGUGAGGCAUGCUGGAGGUAUCAGAAGUGCGAAUGCUGACAUAAGUAACGAUAAAGCGGGUGAAAAGCCCGCUCGCCGGAAGACCAAGGGUUCCUGUCCAACGUUAAUCGGGGCAGGGUGAGUCGACCCCUAAGGCGAGGCCGAAAGGCGUAGUCGAUGGGAAACAGGUUAAUAUUCCUGUACUUGGUGUUACUGCGAAGGGGGGACGGAGAAGGCUAUGUUAGCCGGGCGACGGUUGUCCCGGUUUAAGCAUGUAGGCUGGUUAUCCAGGCAAAUCCGGAUAAUCAAGGCUGAGGUGUGAUGACGAGGCACUACGGUGCUGAAGUAACAAAUGCCCUGCUUCCAGGAAAAGCCUCUAAGCAUCAGGUAACAUCAAAUCGUACCCCAAACCGACACAGGUGGUCAGGUAGAGAAUACCAAGGCGCUUGAGAGAACUCGGGUGAAGGAACUAGGCAAAAUGGUGCCGUAACUUCGGGAGAAGGCACGCUGGUGUGUAGGUGAAGUCCCUGCGGAUGGAGCUGAGACCAGUCGAAGAUACCAGCUGGCUGCAACUGUUUAUUAAAAACACAGCACUGUGCAAACACGAAAGUGGACGUAUACGGUGUGACGCCUGCCCGGUGCCGGAAGGUUAAUUGAUGGGGUUAUCCGUAAGGAGAAGCUCUUGAUCGAAGCCCCGGUAAACGGCGGCCGUAACUAUAACGGUCCUAAGGUAGCGAAAUUCCUUGUCGGGUAAGUUCCGACCUGCACGAAUGGCGUAAUGAUGGCCAGGCUGUCUCCACCCGAGACUCAGUGAAAUUGAACUCGCUGUGAAGAUGCAGUGUACCCGCGGCAAGACGGAAAGACCCCGUGAACCUUUACUAUAGCUUGACACUGAACAUUGAGCCUUGAUGUGUAGGAUAGGUGGGAGGCUUUGAAGCGUGGACGCCAGUCUGCGUGGAGCCAACCUUGAAAUACCACCCUUUAAUGUUUGAUGUUCUAACGUUGGCCCCUGACCGGGGUUGCGGACAGUGUCUGGUGGGUAGUUUGACUGGGGCGGUCUCCUCCCAAAGCGUAACGGAGGAGCACGAAGG
rnacentral:rRNA from 1 species